rnacentral:rRNA from 1 species
GACGAACGCUGGCGGCGUGCCUAACACAUGCAAGUCGAGCGGAGACAGAGGCUUCGGCCAAUGUUUUAGCGGCGGACGGGUGAGUAACGCGUGAGCAACCUUUCUCUUACUGGGGAAUAACACAGGGAAACUUGUACUAAUACCGCAUGAGACCACAGAGGGGCAUCCUUCAGGGGUCAAAGAUUUAUCGGUAAGAGGUGGGCUCGCGUCUGAUUAGCUAGUUGGUAGGGUAACGGCCUACCAAGGCGACGAUCAGUAGCCGGCCUGAGAGGGUGAACGGCCACAUUGGGACUGAGACACGGCCCAAACUCCUACGGGAGGCAGCAGUGGGGAAUAUUGCACAAUGGGGGAAACCCUGAUGCAGCGACGCCGCGUGAACGAUGAAGUAUUUCGGAUGUAAAGUUCUAUCAGCAGGGAAGAUAAUGACGGUACCUGACUAAGAAGCACCGGCUAAAUACGUG